GUCCUGCUGGUCACUCUGGCAUUUUGCUGCUAUGAGGGUGAGUAUCACUCCUAAUUAGACUACCACCAGCCCAGCAAAUGCAGACGUCUGUCCAGCUACAAUGUCUGAUAUGAGAAGCUUCUUUAUGGAUACUGAAGAGAUGUACAGCAUCCAGCUUCUGAGAUUUGCUCCACCUAGAGAAGCUGCCGAGGCCACUUUAAAAGUGAAGCAAUGUGUAGACCAAAUGCCCAUACAGGGCAGAC